UUGUUCAUAGUGAUGCUUUCUAAGGCCCACUGGACUUCACAUUCCAGGAUGUCUGGCUCUAGGUCAGUGAUCACAUCUUCGUGAUUAUCUGGGUCAUGAAGACUCUUAGAUAUGUCUAGACUAGAGUAGCGAAAACAAAAAUACUAGAUAUUUAAUAUUGAUUAUUUCCCAGUUCAUGGGACUCUGACAUUCAUUUGGGUCAAAGUUUUCUUGUAUUUCCAACAGUUUGAUAUGUAAGGGCUACCCUUUCUGGAGACCAUUUAAAUAAGAACUCAGAACUUGAGCAAUAUUAUCAAAACCCACAAGGCUCACACUGAGACAUACAUAAAUCCAGACAGACAGCCAAGAGAUCUUCCAGGUUUCCGUCUGAGAUUUAAAAUAUUUCUUUGAGCCGUUUUCCUGGGUGGUGGGGGGUGGCAGCAAGGCAGGCUUUGGUAACAAGCUCAUUGUGUGUAAUUGCAUAUGAAAAGAACCAGCUUUCUGGGUUCCAAGAAAAAAAGGUUCCUUGGUAACCAAUUUUGUCUGGAUCUAUAGAAUAUCAUGGCCCUCCUAGGUCAGGUCAUCUAUCCUUUCUGUAGUCAUCCUUUUAUCCCUAAAUCAUAGACAGCUUGGAUUGUCUCUGUGGGGUGGAUUUACUUGUCCUCGGGUUUCAUCUGGUGGCAGUAGGUGAAAUAGGUCCGAGAGCCUCUCCUGGAACCGGGCGUGGGGGCGGGGCUCACCGGAAGCCCAUGGUGAAGGUGGGGACAGCACCGUGAGCGCACCCGGGGCGGGGCGAACCCCGGGCGGCAAGGGGCGGGGGUCGUGUCGUGUCGGGGCGCGGGUGGGGGUCCCAGUUGUGCUCUCGGUUGUCGCCACUGCGGCUGGGAACGCACCAAGAGCGCACCAGGGGCGGACGAACCCGGCUGGCGCGGGACGGGGAGACCCAAGGCAUGGUGGUUACUAAUAGACUUCCCACAGUACUUCUUCAUUCCAUUUGGACUCCUUCAAGGGCAGUGGAGCAUCACAGCUUUCCUUGAACUUCACCUGGGUAAGUCUGAACUCUAUAGACAAUUUUCAUGCCUGUCUCAUCUGACUUGUUUGUUUUGAAACAUAAUUUCCUUUCCGGGUAAAAUGUACAGAAAACUUCUAGCAAAGGGAAAAAGUGCUCACAUUUGCCACAUCAUCUAAAACAGUCUAUGUGUUUUAUCUAAAAUGGGUGCAUUCUCCUGCAGAACCUGCACAUAGUCUCCAAAAUCAGGACAUCAUAUGGUUUCUACAGUAUAAUGCAAUCCACAGCCCCACUUCCCUUUCAGUAAUUGUUCAAUUGUAUGAAUAUAACUUUUAUUCCCAUCUUUUUUUUUUUUUUAAGAAUGUUACUGAGAUUUUCAGUGAUUUGGACAAAUUUGAUGGAUUUAAAGCAGACGGCGAAUAUGGGAUCUGUGUGGCCUUUUCUAUAUGGAUAUUUUUCACUAAAGAUGGUUUUAAUGUUUAUUCAUGUUGUAAAAUGUGUGAAUCCUGCAUUCUUUUUUUUCUGCACAGUAAUUAAAAAUAAAUAACAUGCCAUUUACCA